rnacentral:rRNA from 1 species
AUUGAACGCUGGCGGCAGGCCUAACACAUGCAAGUCGAGCGAGCGGCGGACGGGUGAGUAAUGUCUGGGAAACUGCCUGAUGGAGGGGGAUAACUACUGGAAACGGUAGCUAAUACCGCAAACCAUCAGAUGUGCCCAGAUGGGAUGCGCUAGUAGGUGGGGUAAUGGCUCACAUAGGCGCCGAUCCCUAGCUGGUCUGAGAGGAUGACCAGCCACACUGGAACUGAGACCCGGUCCAGACUCCUACGGGAGGCAGCAGGGGGGAAUAUUGCACAAGGGGCGGAAGCCUGAUGCAGCCAUGCCGGGUGUGUGAAGAAGGCCUUCGGGUUGUAAAGCACUUGCAGCGAGGAGGCGUUACUCGCAGAAGAAGCACCGGCUAACUCCGUGCCAGCAGCCGCGGUAAUUC